CACGUGAGUAACCUGCCCUUAACUCUGGGAUAAGCCUGGGAAACUGGGUCUAAUACCGGAUAGGAGCGUCCACCGCAUGGUGGGUGUUGGAAAGAUUUAUCGGUUUUGGAUGGACUCGCGGCCUAUCAGCUUGUUGGUGAGGUAAUGGCUCACCAAGGCGACGACGGGUAGCCGGCCUGAGAGGGUGACCGGCCACACUGGGACUGAGACACGGCCCAGACUCCUACGGGAGGCAGCAGUGGGGAAUAUUGCACAAUGGGCGCAAGCCUGAUGCAGCGACGCCGCGUGAGGGAUGACGGCCUUCGGGUUGUAAACCUCUUUCAGUAGGGAAGAAGCGAAAGUGACGGUACCUGCAGAAGAAGCACCGGCUAACUACGUGCCAGCAGCCGCGGUAAUACGUAGGGUGCGAGCGUUAUCCGGAAUUAUUGGGCGUAAAGAGCUCGUAGGCGGUUUGUCGCGUCUGUCGUGAAAGUCCGGGGCUUAACCCCGGAUCUGCGGUGGGUACGGGCAGACUAGAGUGCAGUAGGGGAGACUGGAAUUCCUGGUGUAGCGGUGGAAUGCGCAGAUAUCAGGAGGAACACCGAUGGCGAAGGCAGGUCUCUGGGCUGUAACUGACGCUGAGGAGCGAAAGCAUGGGGAGCGAACAGGAUUAGAUACCCUGGUAGUCCAUGCCGUAAACGUUGGGCACUAGGUGUGGGGACCAUUCCACGGU
rnacentral:rRNA from 1 species